UCCACCCUCCCCUCCCCUCCCUCGUGCUAGAAACCCCUCCUCCCCUAUGCAGGCCAUGGCGGCGCCGGCGGCCAGAUGACUCCCUCCUCCCCUCCCCUCCCCUCCACUCCCCUCCCAUCACCAGGAGAGGAGAGGAGAGGAGAGGAGAUGAGAGGAGAGGAGAGGGAGAUCCUACACGCAGGCCAUGGCGGUGGCGAGAUCCGCUCGGGGACAGGAGGUCACAGUGGUAGUGGUUCGGCGGCGGCUGGGGAGGAGGCUGUGGCGGCGGUGGGAGCAGCAGCGGCGGGUGGUGGGAGCAGCGACGACGGGUGGUGGGGUCCGGCCGCAGGGUCAAGCGAUCCAUGGAGUAUGUUCUAAUGUGCCAACUCAAGGAGCUCCUGGUCAGAAAGGUUGUCAUAUCUAGGGUGGACAAAUCACUAACAUUUGAUUUGGCAUUCAUCUCCCAGCACUUGAAGACCGUAUGCCUUAUAUCGGUUAUGCUAGAACACUCUGCUCUGAAUUUCUCAGGCUGCCCGGUAUUAUAGGUUUGGACAUUGCAGCGUUGCAGAAUUUGUGCACACAGGAUGUCAUCCAAGUCACUGAAGCAUCUCUGGAUCACCCAUUUAUGUUUCUUCUCUAUGGAGUUCCAUGUCCGGAUUUAUGCUCCGAACCUUAUCUCACUGCAACUUGAUAGUUUUAUUGGUUUCUCCCCAUCCCUUGAAAGCAUGCCAUUUCUAAUAACAGCCUACGUUGAGCUUGGUGAUCUAUGCAAGGAUAUCCUUUACUGCAACGACAACUCAAAGCGUUGUGGGUUUUCUUAUUGCAAAUGUAAUGCUUAUCCUGUUGGUGAGGGUGUGCUCCUCUAUGGUUUGUCCAAGGCUGCCAAUUUGGAGUUGAUAGCUCAUCCUAGAAUGUUUAUCUACAGAUGGGAUUUAAAAUGUUGCCCCAUGUUUGACAAACUAAAGACCCUCUUACUCAAUGAGUGAUUUACGACUAGUAACCUAGUGUGCAUUCUCCAACACUCUCCAAUUCUUGAGGUACUCACUCUUCAGCUUGAGAACACUAAGAAACUUGUUAGCACAACAGGAGCGCAAGAAACAUUUGAACAAUUAUUUGUGUGUGCGCACCUUAAGGUUGUCAACAUUGAAUGUAGUGAAGUUGAUGAGGGAAUUCGCAAAAUUUUGAAAAUCUUGACUACAUAUGGAAUUCUUCGUGAUCAAAUUAGUGUCAAUGACCGAUGUUUCCCCACUUGGACACAAAUUUGCUUAAGAUCACGGAAGCUUGGGUUGAUGGAGUG